AUUGAUGUUAUUGAACAAAAGGAAAAACAAAAAGUUUGCAGAUCUCUUCAAAGGUAUAUUUUCUAUCUCAAUUUCUAUUUAAACACAAAGAGAUCCAUGGUGGGAAUCAAAAUUUAUCUUAUUUUUUGCUACGCAUGAUAAGUAGGUUUCCAAUAGUGGUAUUAAAGCCUACUUUGUGCUUGUUAGAAAUUGUUUUAAACAUUUGGGAACAACCAAAAGUUGAUUUUAUUUUUUUCUUGUUUCUAGCAAUUAGAAAUUUAUUUUUUCUUCUUCAAAAUUUGUUUUGAAUGGAAAAUAAAUUUUGGGUCAAAAAAAUGGUGGUGCAGCUUCGAGACGGAGAUGCGCAGUGGCGCCUGUCGCCAUACUGCGACGGCGUAUAGAAAUUUAUUUUUUCUUCUUUAAAAUCUGUUUUGAAUGGAAAAUAAAUUUUGGGUCAAAAAAAUGGUGGUGCAGCUUCGAGACGGAGAUGCGCAGUGGCGCCUGUCGCCAUACUGCGACGGCGUAUAGAAAUUUAUUUUUUCUUCUUUAAAAUCUGUUUUGAAUGGAAAAUAAAUUUUGGGUCAAAAAAAUGGUGGGGCGGCUUCGCGAUGGAGACGGACAAUGGCGCCUGUCAACACACUACAGCGGCAUACGCCGCCGUUGAAAUAGGAUGACAUCGACGGCGCAUGGUCGAUUGGCACCGCCAAGAAUUUGGGUGAAAUUUAAUUAGGGUUUUCAAUUGAUUUGGGGUGAAUUGAGACGGGGGUUUGAUCUACAAUUUGGAGGAUUGUGCGCCCUAGUCUGUAAUUAUGAAAAAGGGUCACUUUGCAUUUUUCAAAUGGAGGGCGUGUCAUGUAAUUGAGUUAAUUGAAUGACUACCUUUUAAUUUUAAACUUGGAGUCAGAUUGCAAUUGUUCAAAAAUGUUUUAAAUGCAAUUUUGAAAAUGAAUUUAAAAAAUUUCUUUUUCAAAACGUUUGAGCUAAAAUUUUAAUUUUGACCCGUUUAAAAUCAUAUUUAAAAUUGGUGACGACUUUUAUAUUUUUGUUAAAAUUGAAUUUUAAGUUAAAUAUUAAACUUUGACCCUAAAUUGAAUUAGAUUUUAUUUAGGAGUAUUAUCCUAGAUUAAAAUAUUUAUUUAAUUUAAUUUAGAGUUGGACUCUAAUUUAAUACUUAAUUAAAAUUUGAUUUUAAUUAAUUAUUCACCCGAAUAUAUUCUUGAAGUUAGAAUUGGAUUCUAAUUUGACAUUUAAUUAAAAUUUGAUUUUAAUUAAAUUUUCUUGCCCUAAAAUUAUUCUUAAAAUUAGAGUUGGACUCUAAUAUGUUGCAUAAUUAAAAUUUGAUUUAAUUAAAUAAGCUCGACCUGAAUCUUGAAAUUAGAGUUGGACUCUAAAUUUGCUAUUUAAUUAAAAUUUGAUUUUAAUUAAAUUCAACCUCCUUAAAUUUUGAAAUUACAGUUGGACUCUAAUUUAAUAUUUAAUUAAAAUUUGAUUUUAAUUAAAUAGCCCCGCCCUAUAAUUGUGGAAUUAGAGUUGGACUCUAAUUCGGUAUUUACUUAAAAUUUGAUUUUAAUUAAAUAUACCGCUAAUUAAAUUAAUUUAUUAAUUUGAUUAAUUAAUUAAUUAUUUAAUUGUUCUGAUCUAUUUGUCUAAAUUAGUUUAGUCGACUUUAAUUGCUAGAACUUGAAAUGCAUCUGUAUAUAAUAUUAGCUAUUAUAUGGGAAAAAUAUUUAUGCCAUGAAUGUUUAUUAGUGAAUGAUUAUGAACCUGACCAUGUGGAUGUGUUGAAUGGUUAAUUUUAUUCUUGUCGUUUUAUAGGCCUGUGAGCUCUUAAUUUUUUUGGACAUGCGAGUCCGUUAUUGCUAUUGUUAAUAUGGGCAUGUGAGUCCAAUAUUUAUUUAGGCUUGCAUGCCAAUUAAUAUAGGAUAUAGGUUGAGCUGGACUGAUUGAAGACGUAAGAAAAGGAGGAAACCCGUCGAGAGAUUUCACAUGGAUAACUAUCAGAGUGUCAGUGGUUAAUCUCUAACGUUCGAUAGUGAAAUCGGUCCUUUGACUUGAAGUCUUCAUGGUGCCUUAUAUGAUGAUAGCCAUACUUUGGCGAUGGAUGUUGCUUUGCCAAGGGCUCCUAAUACAACGUCAUUCGGGUAUGUCAAGAAUCAUAUGAAAGUUGUGAAUGACCAAUAGAGGAUUGGUCACUCGUAGAUAGUAAGAGAUUAUGAUAUACAUUUCAUUCAAUUAAGUCAAUAAUCAAAUCCUUGACCAAGGAUACUAAUAAGUCGAAAAGGAGUUUUCGACUUAUAUUGACUUAAUAGUGGAAUGAAAGAUAUGAUCGGUAAUUGAGAUUGACACUUAUCCAUAUUUCGUAAUUGAUCGGAUCAUAUUGACGAAGGGAUUAUAAUUUCACGGUAAACGAACAAGCUUGAUUUUGUCAUACCAUGUGACAUUUUUCGUCACAUGCAUUGCCUUGACACAUUGCUAGAUGUCAAUCUAGGAUGUCAAACAUGAGUAUGUGAUAAAUUAAAAGGGUGUUUUAAUUUAUCGAUUUUGAUUAGAUCAAAAUAAUAAUUCACGUCGUUAGGCAUCGUGAUUAAGAACCUGAUAGGUCAUACACAAAAGGAGACCUGGAAGAUUGUGUUUUAACAAUUAAUUAAUUUAACAAGCGUUGGAUAAAUUAAUUAAUUGGAUUACUUAUUUAUUGGCCCGAAUUAAUUAAUUCAUGGAUCGAAUUUAAUUAAAUGGGUUAAUUAAAUCUUGGACUGGGUUAGGCGAUGAGCCAAGCCCAUUUGGGUUUGUAUAAAGAGGUAGCUAGAUUUUUGGAUUCGUAGAGAAAAUUCAUUAUUCUUGCUAGCACAAAAAAAAAUCCUAGUUGUCACAAUCUGUUUCUCUGUGCAGAUUAUUAUUGGAGGCGGACAAUUGGACAGCUGUGGGUGAUAGAUCGAUAUUUCUGUAACAAAAGGAAAAGCAAAAAGUUUACAGAUUUCUUCAAAGGUAUAUUUUCUAUCACAAUUUUUAUCUAAACACAAGAUCUUUGGUGGAAAUUGAAAUUUGUCUUAUUUUCCGCUACGCGUGAUAAGUAGAUUCCCAACGGUGGAAUCAGAGCCUACUUUGUGUUUGUUUGAAAUUGUUUUAAAUAUUUGGGAACAAUCAAAAGUUGAUUUUUUUUCUUGUUUCUACAAUAAGAAUUUUUUUUUCUUCAAGAUCUAUUUUGAAUGCAAAAUAAAUCUUGGGUCGAAAAGAAAAAUAGUAGGGCGGCUUAGCGGUGGAGAAGUGAUGUGGUGACGUGUACCACCGCACGUGAAUCUACAGGGGUUGCAAGCGCCGCUACAAAGUCUCGCCAUACUGCUGUUGCUAUGCUGCAACACGAGUAGCAAUAGCUAAUUCGAGCUGUUGUAGGGCAUAUCAGCGACGGUGCAUGGUCGAUGGAAGGGAGUUGAUUGACGCUGCCAAGAAUUUGGGUGAAAUUUAAUUAGGGUUUGUAGUUGAUUUGGGGUUAAUUGAGACGGGGGUUUGAGCUGCAGUUUGGAAGAUUGUGCGCCCUAGUCUGCAAUUCACUUUGCAAUUUUCAAAUGGAGGGCCUAUCAUGCAAUUGCAAUUUGAAAAUGAAUUUAAACCCCGUUUGAUUCCCCUUUUUUUUUUUUUUUUUAAGAAUGAGAAUAAAAAAUAUAGCCGUUACGAGAUCCACAUAAGAGAUAGAAAGUCAAAUAUGGUGGUUUGAUAUGAUGGAUAACGAUCAUGUUUUUCAUUUUUAUGGCCAGACAAUGGGAAACAAACAGGGUUUGACCUUAUUUUUGACCUAUUUAAAAUCAUAUUUAAAAUUGGCGACUUUUAUAUUUUCGUUCAAAUUGGAUUUUUUAAGUUAAAUAUUAAACUUUGACCCUAAAUUGAAUUAAAUUUUAUUUAGGAGUGUUAUCCUAGAUUAAAAUAUUAAUUCAAUUUAAUUUAGAGUGGGAUUUUAAUUUAAUACUUAAUUAAAAUUUGAUUUUAAUUAAUUAUUCAUACGAAUAUAUUCUUGAAGUUAGAAUUUGAUUCUAAUUUGACAUUUAACUAAAAUUUGAUUUUAAUUAAUUUGUCUUGCCCUAAAAUUAGAGGAAAAAAAUGUUUGUCUUAAGCUGUCUUAUUUAACUGCUUAUGUCGCAAUAUUGACUUAUACUAGGUUUUGUUGGUUCCUAUGUCACAAAAAAAAAAAGAAAGAAAAAAAGAAAAAAUGAAAAAGAAAAAGGCGAUUUUGGAAUGUGGUAAAAAAGUUCCACAAGUUGUAUAUCCUUGAAAUGUGGGGGUAUUAAACUAUUUAAUAUAGUUUUCAUUUCUUUGGUCAGUGCUUGACGAGAAGUUGGAUGAAUAUCUAAAAGUCAUACUUUAUUUAAAUCUAUUAAAGUUAUUUCAUUUAUUGUGACACUAAUAUUUUGAGAAGUGUUUGUAGACAUGCAAAAUUUUCAAGUUCCACAUGAUGGAUAUCUUCGGAAUACGGAUGUGAAAUGCAAGAGCCCAAUGGAUGCAUCUCCCCAAACAUGUUACUAGAAGCCAAUAUCAGAAAUGUCAUGAAAUUAUCUUAUUAUAAUUAUAUAUGCUAUAUUGAAAUUUUUGGAAAAAUUCUUAUGCAAUUUUGCAGAUGUGCGAAUAUGCAGGAAAAGAAUAAGAAUUGCAAAUCGAUGAUAUCAAAUUGUCGUCCAAGAAGGACAUGAAAUAAAUUAAAUCAUCGAAGGGAAUGGGCUUAAGUCCAUAAAGGAGUUACCUCCAGGUGUAACCCAACCUUUGUAAUUGGAGAUCCCAUCAAGAAGGUUCAAUGUUGUAAAAACAACCCAUACUACGUGACUUAUAAUAACACUAUUUUACUUGUGCUCAUCCCUAUGGGAUAGUUCAAAUAAUAAUGUGAUGUUAGGAAGGGUCUAACCUUGAAUGAGUAUCGAGGUGAGAACUCUCGCAAGGUGUGGGUCACACACACCCUUGGAGGACUCACCUAUGUAAGAGUUGCCAUGAGGCCGUGGGUGUGAUUGGGCAAUUCCAUAGAGACUCUUACUAAAAUCAAGAUUACAGGCAUAGCCAUUAAGAACACUACCCGGUAUGAACUAGAGCCUAAAUCGAUAUUGUGCGUGGAAUAAUUGAAAUUUGGCUAAAAGGACCUAAUUUAAUAUUUAAUCCAUUAUGGCUCCUUUAAAUGAAGAUUGUUACCACCAAGUAAGGUUCAAGUCCAAAAAACACCUACACCUAUUACACAGUGUAAAGUUAUCACUAUUAUAUAUAUUUCUCUAUUUUGAAAGCUUAAAACUUGUGGGGGAUUGUUGUAACAUAUAAGUUUCAACCUUUCAAAACUAAUAUCCAUUAAUGUUCAGUUUUCUUUUAAUUUCUAGGUUUAAUUCCAAAUGAAAACUCAUAAUUUCAUAGUGUAACUUAUAUGUUAAUUGGGAUAAUUCUCAUUAUUGUGGGGAUUAAAUUUUUACACUAUCAAUUUUAUAUUUUACUUUUGGUAUCUCAAUAAAGGCUCGUUCACUUAUCUCCAUAUGGUCGUGUUCAUAGAAGGAGAACCACAUAGGUUUUAUCUUGGAGCCGUAUAGUGCCGAAAGAACCCACACGAAGGGGAGGUAACACGGUUUUAGGACGGCGUCUUCGACAUCUCCCAAGGCUUGCUUUUCUAGCCCUCUUCUUAUUUUAUAUUAUUAUUGAAUUAUAUUUAUGUCAAUUAACUGAUUAUGCUAAUUGAUAAAUAAAUCUACACACAAAUCACUUAAUUUUCCCAACAAUUGUUUCUAUCAAUAAAUAUGAUAAUUGUUUUUACUUAUUGCAUGUUGAAUUUUGCAUGCGAUUUUAACUGAAAAGACUAAACUAUUCCAUUAUCCUGAAUAUUUUGGAAGGUAAUUAAUAAUUAAAUUUUUAAAAGAGAAAAGCUUGUCUUAAUGUAUUAAGUGUAUUGAGUUUGACUUGAAACAAUUUGGACAGUGUGGACCUAACUAAUUUCCAAAUUUUAAGUAUUCUUUGACCCCAAAAUCUCAGAUUUUAUUACUAUAUUCUUAGAAGUUCGCAUGUGUUAAUGAUUGAAACUUUGUUAGCUCAUUAGUUUCUCUCACAUGCUCACAAAUUUGUUAAAACAACUCUUGUGAUUAUUAUUAUUAUUAUUAUUAUUAUUAUUUUCAGAAGUCAUGUCACGUGCCUGCGUAUCUUUGGAUAGUAAGACGAUAAUAAUUUUCAUCUAUGUUAUCAAAAAUAUCGAGGACAAAAUAAGUUCCAACUCAAACAAAAAAUGUCCGAGAAAUGAAUGUAAAAUUUUGCCAAGGUCCCAAGCUAAUAAGCAGUUAUAUAUUGGCAUGAGUCCCUCAUAAAUGCUUGCUGAUAUAGUAGGAACUAGGCUGUAAGUGAAUCCAGUAACUAUUUUAGAUGUUUUAAAAGUCUCAACUCUCUUAAAUUCUUCCUCGGAGGGAAGAACAAAACAACAAAGCUGCAGAACGAUAUAUUCUGUUAUUUCUAGCUCUUUAUCUUUCUUCAUAGAUAAAGAUAUUAACAAAUGACUUCAAGGACUUUGGUCUCUACGAAAAUAUCUUUUAGCUUGUCUACAAUAAUGGGCCUCCUUAUUUUUGUUGAUGUCCUUUUUGACGCCUUUUAAAUGGAUUUAAAUUCAUGAUACUUUUAUAAGCUUUGCUUUGUUGAGAAUUUUGGACACAACCAUUUUAUCGAAACAAAAUUCAACCGAAGCAGCAUGAGUAAUGUAGUCAGAUUCUUUCUCAUUAGCAAUUAAUGAGAAUACAUUAAAAAGAUACAAACAAGAAUUAGGGAGAUCAUCUAUCAACUCUGAAAGGCUUGGAGCUACUUUUUCAUAAUAAUGUUCCAUGAUUGAAAGUUCACUAAUCUCGUGGAUGUCCCAAAGAGAAAUAUCAAUUUCACUACCCCUUGCGGUUGCAAAAGCCAUCGUCUCUAGAUACCUAACCUCACAAGAGUUCUAUAGAUAGAGUUUGGAUGAUAAUAAUCUUUUGUAGUAGAGAUGACUGAAGAAGCUAAUUUGCAAAAAUUCCUUUUCGACGGGAGUUUUUGGAUCCAAGUAGAUCACUCCCAAACUUGAAAGAUAAGAAAUUUCUCCAUGCUGACAAGUGGACUUUCCUAUCUUACUUCCUUAUUUUAAUCCUUUCAAAAGCAUGCCCUUGAGAUGAGCUCCCUUUUUUGGGAAUAGUAAGGCGAAAGACACAAAAGGUGAAGAUGAUUGCUAGAACAACUUGUUAAUAUUUAAUUUCAAUCAUGCUAAGAAUCAAGAAUCACAAAAAUAAUAAAUUGAUAAAUUGAAUUCAUACUUGCGGAAUCCAUUAUUGAUAUGAAUGAUAGUUGUAAUAGCAGUCAAGAUCUUCCCCUCCUUACUCCUCACAAAGUAUUAGCUAUCAAUAGGUCAAGCUAAUAAAACAUAUGGAGAGGAAAUGGGACCUAGCCUUUAUAUAUAGAAAAUAAUUGAGUCGUCCUAUUACGACUAGAAAUUUAAUUAGGAUUUAUUUCCAGCCCACAUAUUUAAAAUUACCACAUCAGAUUAAUCACAACCGGUAAGGUGUAAAAGGCCUAAGUGAUCAUUUAAUAAAUUUGGUCCAAUCACAAAUAUCAUUAUGAGCCUACAUCUAACCCGUAAAAUUUGCAAUCGAAUGUGAAGCUCACAUAUGGAAUUAUUCCAACAUUCUCCCAGUUGGGCAAAUAUUUGAUUGCUAUAACAAAGUUUUAACACCCGAGUUAGACUACAUAGGUGGCCACAAAAGUAUAGUCGAAACUAAUACGCAUCGAUUUUGGCAAUACAUUUAGCCCCUAUUCGACCUCCAAUUCUUAAAACUCAUUUCAACUACACAUUUCAUAGGACACACAACUUUUAUCAACAUUUCAAACAUAUAUUUUAUUAGCUUUUACAAAAUCUACUAAAUGCAAAAAUUUUGCCAUGUAUCCUCAUUUAUCUGUUCCAAUUAAAGGGAUAGUACUCUCGAUGGACUAACUCGUCUUGUUGGUAUCGGCCAGUUCAUGUUGUGGAUGUACCUAUUAACUUCUUUCGGCAUAUUGACCAACUCAUUAAAUGGCGAUGACUAACUCAUUUUGUCGUAUCCACCGACUGAAUAUUGUCACAGUUUGUCCACAUAAUCUCUUUAUUUCAAAAUUUCAAACUUUUUUAAUUCGAGUUAUUAUAUUUCAGCAUCUUCGAGAAGAGAAGAAAAGAAAAUUGCUGAAAAAGACUAAUACUAGAUUGAUACGCACUAACUCAACAAUUAAUUGAAUCAAUAAUUGCAAGGAAUGAAAUAAAAGUAAAAAUCCAGAAACUUAAAUCUUAGCAGAGAAUGAGGCCCCACAAAAUUGUCAAUUAUUAUUUCAAAAAAAAAAUUUACGCCAGCAUUCCAAUCCCUUUUGUAUUACUUUUGUAUUUGGAGCACCAAAUAAUUCAAAAAUAAAAAAUAAAAAAGAAUCAAACACUGGAAAACUCAAUAACACACUAUUAGAAAAUUAAUUAAACAAAGUCAAAUUACAAGAAAAUUCAAUAAAACCGUAACUUAUCAAUCCAAAGUCAACAUUUAAAAUUGCUAGCGUUUAAAUCAACAUCAAACUCAAAAUUUCUGAUCAAGUUGAUUUAAUAAAGCAUAAAAUCAAAGAAUAACAAGAACACAAAUGCAUCAAAUCAAUGAGACCCCAACCCAAAAAUCCAAAAAAGAACCCCAAAGGAAUAAUUUGAAAAGCAUAAAGUGCAUACUCGGAACUGGAAAACUCGAAAAGCUUCCCCGUGUUGGAAAAAAUUAUAACCGUAACCUCUGCCUCGCAAAGAACAGCCAGUUCAUCUGCCUUCUUCAACAGGCCUAUGCGUCUCUUUGUGAAAGUGAUUUGCCUGUUGUUUACAUUCUCGAUCUUCUUGAUUUCAAUCUUUCCUCGACCCAUUUUUUCUUUCCCAAAACCCAGAAAAAUAAACAAUUAAAAUCCCAAAACACCAAUUCCUCUUUAAUCUGUGGGCUGUUGUCUCUCCUGUGUUUUAAACUCUAAAAUACUCGAAUGACACGUACAUGCAUGUAUAAAGAAAGAGAAAAAUAUUGGAUUUUUUUUAAUUUUUUUUUUAUGAGGGUUUUUGGUCUAAAACUGGAAAAGAGAGGCCUUAUAAAAUUGGAAGAAAGCAAGAAAUACCGAGAGGCAAAGAGUGGGGUAUUUAUAAGACCCCAAAUGACUUUGAAACGGCAAGCUUUUGCUUUUGCAUGGCUAUUAUGUCGUGUAAAACUCCUCUCUUUUGCUGCCAAAUUUGGCUUAGAGUGGUGUAAUAGAGUGGGUUCCACUUUUUAAAGUUUUCAGUCUGACUUCCACUGUAGUUUUGGAUUCUCAAUCUUCAAAAGUUAAAAAUUGGGUCCUCAACCUAUUUAAAUUCAUGAAUUUAGAUUUUUAUGUGAUAGAAAUAGCCAAAAUGAACAUUAAAAUCAGAUGCACAUUUCAUGUGAAAUUAACGUUGGAUGGUAAAAUCGUCAAAUCACUUAACAUCUACAUUGACACUUUCGUCAACUUGGGAUCUGAAUCCACAAAUUUAAAUAAAAUGAGGACUCAAAACCUCAAUUUUGAAGAUUUUGGAUGCAAAUAUUUUACCUAAAAAUAAUACAUACAAGAAUUACAAUUCAUAAAUACUUAGUGAACUUUUGAAAACAUAAUAGAGGCAUAAAAUUAUUAUUGCAAUUUAUACAUUUUUUGAGAAUAUCUGACUAAUUUUAAGCCAAGUUUUGUCUCUUCUAAUCAAUUCAUUUACUAUUUGUAAGUAGGUGCUAUUUUCAGCAUCUUGCUUUUGAUUGGAAAAUCUAUAGUUUGAUUUUUAUACUGCAUUCAAUAUAUUUUAGUUGUAAAGGGUUAUUUUUCCCUAUAUAACAAUGGAAAAUAGUUUAAACCAUUGAUUUAAUUAUUAUAAUCUUUUUUUUUUCCAUAUUAUAUGUAACUGUCCAUGUAAUAAUUAAUUAAUAUUAAUUAAAUCGGUAAUAAAUGAAAUCUGGUUUACAUAUUUUGGAUAGUUGUUUUAUUUUGGUAGUAUUGUUUUAUAUAGUCUUAGCAAAUAAGGAUUAUUUUUGGGAAAGUGGAAUAAAUUUGAUAAAAUUUUAAGUCCUUUUGGCUUUUGUAUUUAUCCUUUCAAUUAUAGUUAGUCUUAAAUUGGUUUCUCUUACUAUUUUUAAUGCAAUGGUACUUUUAACAGCCUUACUUUUCUCCCCUUUUAACUCAUCAUUUAAGUUUCAAUUUCACUUCUUUUUAAUCAAAAAUAACAAUUCCAUCACAAAAAUUAACAAUUAUUCUUAUAUGAUGGUCGUAUUUUCUUGUAGAGAUAAUGAAUGUUGAUAGAGCUCGUUUGUUGUUUUUCCACUUGUACAUUUUUUUUUAAUUUUUUAUACAUAAUAUGCAAAUAGGUUAAAAGUCAUAUUUCUAUGGCACGACUUCCAUGUUAAAAGAACGAGUUUUAACCAACAAUGUAUUUAUUUUCUAUCUUUUAUUCCUUUCUCCGUUUGUGCAUGGGGUUCUAUAUAAUUAGAACGAUUUUUAUGCUCUUUAAGUGUAUCAUGGAUUUUUUAUUUUAAAUUUAAUUGUCUAAUUAUAAAAUUUGUCAUAAAACUAAUAAUUAUUACAAUAGAUGGUCCAGAUAUGCUUCAACAACUUUAGGUGUCUAAUUGAUUAGUUAAUGCAUGAAUGCAUGCCGUAUUUGAAUCUAAAUACACAAGAUCAGUGCUAGAGUAACGUUAUUUAGUACCACUAGUAUUAUAAUAUCAGAUUAAGAGACACUAAGUGUCAUUAAAUGAAAUUUACAAUUAAAUGAAUCGUAUAAAUUUAUAUUUAAUUGAACAUGCCACAUACAUUGCCCUAGAGCACUAAUAUUAGAUAGCAUUAUUCUUAAUGCUAUUGUUAGAAUAUGGUUUUUAUUUGACAAUUAAUGAUAGUUGACUAUGGGCUUAUGCGAUUAUAAUAUUUAAGUGAAAAAGAUGAUAAAUAGCUUGCCAUUUUCGAGGAGUAUCUUAAGUAAUUAUAUCUAUCAAUAAUUUUAAUAAUUAUUUUUACUUAUUGGAUGUUGAAUUAUGCAUGUGAUUUUAACUGAAAAGACUAAAUUAUUCCAUUAUCCUUAACAUUUUGUAAGGUAAUUAAUAAUUAAAUUUUCAAAAGAGAAAAGUUUCACUACAACAAAAGCAGCUUUUUAUGGCAUGCAUUUAUGACAUGCCGUAAAAAUAAACUAAUUACAGCUUGUCAAGUAUGUAUGCCGUAAAAAAUCAAUUAAUUAGAUUAUUUACGGCGUGCACCCUUUCCACGCCGUAAAUAAACAAUUAAUUAGUGUAUUGCGUUUGACAUAAAACAAUUUGGAAAGUGUGGACCUUAUUCCUAAACUAAUUUCAGAAUUUUAUGUAUUCUUUGACCCCAAAAUCUCAGAUUUUAUUACUAUAUAUUCUUGGAAAUUUGCUUGUGUUAAUGAUUGAACCUUUGUUAGCUCCUUAAUUUCUCUCACAUGCUCACACUUUAUUGUGGUCGAUAAUGAAUAAAUGAACACUCAAUUUGUUUCAUUUAAAUUAUUAUUUUUAACUUAAAAACAACUCUCGUGAAUUUUUUUUAUUUUAUUUUUUUCCAUUUCCAAAAGUUAUGUCACAUUCUCUAUUCAGUUUCUCCAACCAUUCACUUUAGUACAAAGCUCGUAAAUUCUAAAAUCAAGUAAGUUAAUAUUCUGUUUUUAAAAUUUAACCAGCGCACGCGUAGGCAAUCAAAAUAUCCUAUUAUCAGUUUCUAAUUAGUUCUAAUUGUAGCGUGUAAACUAAACCAAAUGUUGAUGUGAUCUUGGAUUAGACCAAAGCCGAUAAAAAAUUCCAUGUUCGAAGCCCAGAAGGAGGGGGCGUAAUUGAGUCCAAUUGGCAUUAAUUUAGGGCAUAUGAUUGCUAGUGGGAGCUAUGGAGUUCAUAGGGUUGUAGACAACAUGCCAAGGAGCAAGUUUGGUGUUGGAGACGAAGG
rnacentral:lncRNA from 1 species